rnacentral:rRNA from 1 species
AGCAGCCGCGGUAAUUCCAGCUCCAAUAGCGUAUAUUAAAGUUGUUGCAGUUAAAAGCUCGUAGUUGAAUUUCGGGAUUCGUAGAUUGGUCGUGCCACGGGUAUGUACUGGUCUUACUGAUUCCUCCUUCCUGAUGAACCGUAAUGCCAUUAAUUUGGUGUUGCGGGGAGACUGGACUGUUACUUUGAAAAAUUAGAGUGUUUAAAGCAGGCUUACGCUUGAAUACAUUAGCAUGGAAUAAUGAAAUAGGACGUUCGAUCCUAUUUUGUUGGUUUCUAGGAUUGACGUAAUGAUUAAUAGGGAUAGUUGGGGGCAUUAGUAUUCAAUUGUCAGAGGUGAAAUUCUU